ensembl:lncRNA
CUGUCUCCAUGGUGCCAAUUCUCUCAUGAAUUCCUGACACCUUGACCUCAUGACCCUCACAAUCCACUUACAUCAGGUAGGCCUCUGUGUGCCUACCUGCUCGCUCUUCUGUAUUCCUUGUUAGAGGACCUGACUCACUUUGGGAUAUCUGCUCUUGGAAUCCAACUCCAAGAACCAAGGAUUUCAAGAGUUGGGCCUCCUACUCUUGCUUCCACUCCGCCAAUGGCCCUCUGCUGCCCCCACCUGCCACAAGUCCACACUAACCAAAGAAGUCCUCAAGACUUGCCCCACAGGGCUCAGGAACUAGUUUCUCUUAUGUACCUGGCAUUGUCUUAGGCACUGUCACUUUAGCCAUUUGGUUUAGUCAUUUAAGUCCUGGGCCAUACAACCCAAUUCUUUGUGAGUGUGGGCACCUCUUCUGUACGUGGAAGCUCAUAUCCUAUUUUCCUUACCUACACGCUCUCAGAACUUCCUGAAUACUUGUAUCUCACCACCUGACCUCCAGUGUGUGCCUCCUCACACCAGCACAGUGGAGCAUGCCAAAGGCCAGUUGACUAUUAAACAAAUAUCAUCGAGCUUAGGAGAAGGAAGCAGAAAUGGAUUGCAAAUCAGGUGCAAAGUGAUGCAUUCUGCAAGUCGGCUAGAAUAAUUUCAGACCCCGGACCUCCUGCUGAAGUGAAAAAUGACAUUUAUAGGAGGGAAGCUUAGAAUUAAUCCUCCAAAAUGAUAGUAAAGUGAAUUCUUUCCUGACUCUGCUAUGAUUGCUCUUCCUCCCAUUUCUGUCUCUCCUUAUUAUUGUAAUGAGGUCUGCUCUCCAAAGUGGAUAAAGUCACCAUUCAGAUAAGAUCAGUUUUGUCUGGUGCAGCGACGUUGAUCUGAUCACAGUUUGGACUGCGGCUUUUGAAUUCACCUUGGACAUUUAACUUCUGAGGGGAAAGGGAAAUAAAAAUGACGAUCUGGCACAAAAGUACCUGCAAUCAUUAGUCAGCUAUCUUCAGGCCCGCUCUCUUUAUCCCUACCGCAGGAUAGCAGCUUCUUUGGAUAUUUCUUGGACUUUGGGGCGCUUUUUAUCCCAAUCACCUUUUGCCCUGUUCCAAUAUUUGAAUUGCAGCGGAGGUAGUUUCACUAGAGAGCAUCGGUCUGCAAUUCCCAGUGGAGUUCUCACUGAUUGUGGAAGAUGUUGAGUCCCGCACACCUGCUGAGCAGCGUGGGAGCUCUCCGUGGUGCUGAGAAAGCUGAGGUGUCUCCGCUCAGAGGGCAGCUGUUGGGAGCUCUCCGUGGUGCUGGAAGCAAUACUCUUCUAUAGAGAAUUUGAGGGGAAAUUGUCCACAAACAGCUCUAAGGAUCAUUAUCGCUCUACAGAAGGGCUGCGAUGAAAACAGGGGGGCAAGCUGUGGAGGACUUGCUGGAUGAAUGUCCACCCUAAAAACUAAUGACCACUUUCACAUUUGCUCUUAUUCUGUAAUGUCAAUUGAUUUAGAAUGCUUCAUUUAUUUACUUUUCUUCCUGGUGGUGAGGGGGAAAGGUAGAUGCUCGUACUAAUUACAGGAAGUAUGUUAUUGUCCAUCUGAAGCACAAACAGAAUAAAAGAGCCGCAAUUCAUUUAUUUCACAAACAUUUGUUGGGCACUUUUAAUAUGCUAGGCAAUGUGCUAGGUGCUGAGCCUUGGGCAAACUUAUAGCUCACGCAGGAAUCAGGUGAGCUGUGACUCCAGGAUAGCUGCUUUUUGCUCUAACAAAUGCUGAUGUCUGGUGACUGACAACUCUGGACUUCAGAUAGUAGUUGUAGCCAAGAAGAGACCUGAGAAGUCGUUCUGGGAAUGCAGGGGCGCCCUUCGUGACUUCUAUAAAUCGAAUGUGAAUAUUACAGUACAGAAGCAUUGUGUGGCUUGAGGGGGUUCUAAAGAAGCAGAGGCCUCCACAAUUCUACAUGAACUGAAUCUCCAUCUCUGUUUUUUAAAAAAAUUAUCUUCAAGCUUAGGCUUAAAUCAGCUUCCUGCUGGAUCUGGCUCCCCCAAUUUGCACAGGGGUCUCUGCACUGAUUGCCCUGAGGAGUAGGCUGGGAGAAUGCCUGAUGCUGAUGUGUUCAUGAAAUGAUGCGCCUGGCAAUAUGAUGGUGAUAUUUAUACAGCACAUAUUAUAUUCUGUGAUUUGUUCUGAGUGCUUUACACAUAUUAUUUAAUUAUCACAACGACCUUUUGAG